UGCGCAGGCGGGCUUGUAAGUCAGUGGUGAAAUACUGCCGCUUAACGGUAGAACUGCCAUUGAUACUGCGAGUCUUGAAUAUGGUUGAGGUAGGCGGAAUGUGUUGUGUAGCGGUGAAAUGCAUAGAUAUGACACAGAACGCCGAUUGCGAAGGCAGCUUACUAAGCCGUUAUUGACGCUGAGGCACGAAAGCGUGGGGAGCGAACAGGAUUAGAUACCCUGGUAGUCC
rnacentral:rRNA from 1 species